CUCGACUCGCCGCGGCAGCGUCUCGUCACAUAGGCUGAGAAUCCUUUCGAUAGCGCUCGACCGUCGGACCGACGCGUACACGGCAUGCGCUUUGUGUGUGUCUUCUUCUUGCCCUCACACGUCGAUUUUUGACAUUUCUGGCGCGUUGUUACGAAGCGUCUUUGAUACAUAGAAGGAGAGAAGGGAAUAACGUUAGCUAGACCGGAAAAAAUAUCGCAUCACUGGCCUCGAUCGCAUCAGCCGAGUCAAUGUGAGAUAAUGAAGGAAUUAUUUUCUUCUUUCUCGCUCUUAUUUUCUUUUUCUCUCGCUCGGUACGCCAAGCUGAACUUAAAAUACAAUGCCAUCUGCCGCGACAAGCCUGAACUAAAAAUAAGCUCUUUUUUACCAUGCGACCUGUAAAAACGCUACACGCAUGUCGCUUAUUCAUAAUUCGUUUUUUUAUUUAAACUAUCCAUUGAAAUCCUAUUAAGGCCUUAUAAUGUUUCUGAAAGUCAUUAGAAUUUCGCACCAAAUUCAUUUUACAUACAUGAACUAUAAAUUUUUUACAUGAAGCGUAAAUAUAACGCAGUGCCGUAUUUUCAAUAUUAAAUAAACAAUUUUUUGUUGUUUUCAUUGUAACUUUUUGCUUUAUAAAAUUCGUUAACGUCUGUACUUUCACUGUAAAAGCAUUUGCAAUUCUAUGCAUACUUUUAGAAGAAAAAUAUGAAUUAUGAAAACGCGAUUGACAUCGCUAACCAGCAUCGCCUUAAUGGACAUCGUUUGAGACAUUUUUGAUAGAAAAACCACGUAUAAUUAUUUACGAUUGAUUUUUUAUGUGUUACUGUCAACAAUUAUUGUUUCUAUCAUCGAAAGAAAACAGGAUUCAAAGCGGCAAGUGGAUUUUUGUAUGAUUCUUUUUGUUAAUAGUCAUACUUGCAAAUUUUUAUUUUACAAAAUGUUUAAUAUUAUAUUAUACUCGAAUUGCAUUUCUAAAUUUUUCGACGGUGGUGCGUACGCAUAUGUCCUAAAUAUAAAUAUGUAUUUUACAAUAUUGUCUUUUUGCAAAACGAUAUAGCUCAUCAACAAGUUCGGCCAUGGUACGGAAAUAAUAAGAUACACAUGCGUAGUCUUUGCAACGUUGCUUCAUCUUGUGUGUUUAUGUUAUCCUGGACAAUUGCUAAUAGACCAAAGUACCGAAGUAUUCAAGAAAGCGUAAGGAUUAAAAUUAUGCUUGCAAUUUUAUCUCCGUUCUACAGUAUAAUUUAUAUUCAGUUUUCCCAAUUGUGUGUAAGAAAAUCAGAUAUUUCUCAAUAUUUCGACUGCCAUUGAAGGGGGGUGGUUUGUUAGUCAAUUCAAUCUUACUCGAGUUUACUGCUUAUAGUCUCGAACGAUUCUCAACAGUUCCCGAAGAAUCCAAAAAACGAAUAACUAUUAUAAUAUACCACGGGACUCAAGUGUUUAUUUCAGAUAUAACUCGCGAUGGUACACAUUCUCAGUAAGAAGCAAAAAUCUACUAAGGAUACUUCUUUAUAGGAGUUUUAUCCCGUCUACGCUUACAGCAGGAAACAUGUGCGUUAUGUCGAUGGCCACGUACAGCACGGUAAUGCAAUCCGCUAUGUCGUAUUUCACUACGUUUUUAUCUAUGAAAUAGAAAAAAAUAGAUUGUACGACAGCAAAACGUGGCUGGAUGGACGUCACGGUAUUUCAAAAAGUCAUCAGUUCUCUUUGUUCUCACAAAACAUAUUUGCAAAUGUCACAAUAAAGUGUCAUAUCAGGAAUGUAAGAGUGUCUUUAUUUUUCAUGUCUCUCAAGGAAACCAAACAGAAACGAUAUGGAAAAAGGAUGUAUCCUUCUUAUAUAAAAACUUGCUUUUAUUUUUACGUUACUUGUCUUGUCAAUUUUUCGAGAUGGACGAUUUUCUGGACGCAAUAUUAUGUUGGUUUCACGAUUACCAGUCAUAAUUUCACUUUAUUUCUAAGAAAUAUUAUAAUUUUUGCUCGUUAUUCCAGUAUUUCGUUAUUGCAAUAUUAUUUAUAAAUAUAAUUAUUUUGUUGUAAAUAAAUGUUUUGGAUGAAUUGACUCAAAUCCGGUGGAAAAAAUAAGUCCGCUUAAUUUAAUGAUGCAUUUAAGUUUUUAUAAAAAAAUUAUUUAUAUUUUUUAUUAAUGAUAUAAUAAAUAAAUAAAUAUAUAUAUAUAUAUAUAUAUACGAGGGUGAAUCAAAUAUAAACUGGAAUUAUUUUUAUACCCGCAGUGAGGCGAACGGAGAGAGGUCAGACUUCUGAGCGUUAUAGGUGGGGACGCCUGAAGGAGAUUCUCCCUUACGGCACUUCUCAUUAGCGCUUCGUUAAUCAGUAUCACAAUGUCAGAGCGGGAGGUGCCCUCGUCCGUUGCACAACGAAUUAUUAUUAAAUUUCUCACUGCAGAAGGCGUAAAACCGUCGGACAUAUUGAGAAGACUUGAAGCACAAUUCGGGGACAAUACGCUCAAGAAGACUCAAGUGUACGAAUGGCACAAACAAUUUUUACCAGGUGCAGAAGUUUGAAACCGGAAUUUUUUUGUAAA